rnacentral:rRNA from 1 species
CCCGCACAAGCGGUGGAGCAUGUGGUUUAAUUCGAGGCAACGCGAAGAACCUUACCUGGCCUUGACAUGCUGAGAACUUUCCAGAGAUGGAUUGGUGCCUUCGGGAACUCAGACACAGGUGCUGCAUGGCUGUCGUCAGCUCGUGUCGUGAGAUGUUGGGUUAAGUCCCGCAACGAGCGCAACCCUUGCCAUUAGUUGCUACGAAAGGGCACUCUAAUGGGACUGCCGGUGACAAACCGGAGGAAGGUGGGGAUGACGUCAAGUCCUCAUGGCCCUUAUAGGUGGGGCUACACACGUCAUACAAUGGCCGGUACAGAGGGUAGCCAACCCGCGAGGGGGAGCCAAUCCCACAAAGCCGGUCGUAGUCCGGAUCGCAGUCUGCAACUCGACUGCGUGAAGUCGGAAUCGCUAGUAAUCGCGGAUCAGCAUGUCGCGGUGAAUACGUUCCCGGGUCUU